UCAGCUCGUGUCGUGAGAUGUUGGGUUAAGUCCCGCAACGAGCGCAACCCCUACGUUUAGUUGCUAACGCGUGAAGGCGAGCACUCUAGACGAACUGCCGUUGACAAAACGGAGGAAGGUGGGGAUGGCGUCAAAUCAUCAUGCCCCUUAUGUUCUGGGCUACACACGUGCUACAAUGGCCGGUACAGACGGACGCAAAGCCGCGAGGUGGAGCAAAUCCUAAAAAGCCGGUCUCAGUUCGGAUUGCAGGCUGCAAUUCGCCUGCAUGAAGUCGGAGUUGCUAGUAACCGCAGGUCAGCUAUACUGCGGUGAAUACGUUCCCGGGGAUU
rnacentral:rRNA from 1 species